rnacentral:lncRNA from 1 species
AUAUCCUGCCUGAGCCUGGGCCGGGUGGAGGUGUCCUGCAUGGAGUCUUGUGAAAUCGGUUGGACUGCAACACUCAGCAGCGCGCCGCCCUGGGUCCUGCCACUGAGCAGCUGUUGGUAGGCUCUGCUGUGAGGUCUCCUCUUCCGGCUUUCCCACUUCCCAAGUGUUGGUUAAGGAAUCCAGAUGUUACCGCAAUAACCACUCCAUAAACAAAAGGAACACCCAGCUGUGAGAACUGGCUUCUCAGCAUUCGUCCCAGCAGAGGCUCUUCCGGGGCUGGGUUCUGAUGGUUGCCCUGUUUCAGCACAGCCCUUAUUGGCAGGCAGACGGCACGGGCACAGCCACAGGCUGAAGUGUCAACACUUCAAACAACACAGACAGUACAAUGACAAAUUGGAGAUCAGCUCUAAUCUCGGCCCCCAAUUUAAUGCAUUGCUGAAUAUUCUUCUGAACAUAGUCCAUCCCACACUGUCCCAUGACACAAGACGCUCCAAGGGGCUGAAGAUAGAGGGACUUCUGCAGUCAAGAGAGCUGGGAAACUCUUGGACAGUCACAAUGUGCAUUUGGGUAUUAAAGGCUCUGAAAAGUUCUGCACCAAAUAAACCCUUGGAUUGGCUUGAUCCGAUGCCAUGUUUCCAAAACCUACUUGCCCGUGGGACACCUUAGUCCAUAACACAGGUUGGCAUUUCUUCUAGAGAGUGUGCUGUGAAAAACACUGGUCUCACAACACUGUGCAUUCAUCCAGCAGGUAUUUACCAAGCAGGGACUUUGGGCCAGGUCCGUGCUAGGCUCUGCAGGUGGACCAGCCAGCCCUGACCUCCAUGGUGUCGCUUCUCAUGGGAGAGGCUGCACAGCAGUCAUUGAGAAAAUGAAGAAACACACAGGUACUUUCAGAUGCUGAUAAUGACUACCAUGUGCUAAAAGAGCUCCAGGUGUUGUCUAUUUUGAGACAAUCUUCUCGACAAUGAGAUAGAAUGAACCAUGCAAACUUUGGGGGCUACGAUGGUUUUAGGAAAGAGCUAGAGUGAAAAAUCCUUUGACAUAUAUACAUACAAAUAAAGAUACAUGUGUAUAAUUUUAUGUAAUUGACAUCACAUUAUAUGCUGGCACCUGCCUUUUUUGCUUAAUGAAAAUGUCAAAGGUAAUAUUACCAAUCAAUCAGUAUAUUUCACCAUCGUGUUUAAUUUCUGCAGAGCACUUAUUCAAGCACAUACUGCAUUUUUCUUAGUCACUCACUGGUGGGAAUAGAAAGUUUUCUCAGGCAUGCAUUUUUCCCACUUCUGAAAUGAUCUCCUUAGAAUAAAUUCCCCAAAUUGUAUUGCUGGGUUCAAAGGCAUGAACAUUUUACAUUUUUAUACAAUAAUCUCAAACUACCUUCUGGAAAUGAUGCUCACUUUACUUUCCCUCCAAGACUGCGUGAAAAUGCCCAUUUUCCUAAAUGCUUACUAUGACUGGUUUCCAACUACAUUUUAAUUCUUGUUCAAUCUGAUAGGUAAAAAAUGAUAUUUAAUUUUUAUUUGAUUGAUAAUGACCUUGAACGUGCCUAUUAGCCUUUUGCAUGUAUUCUUUUAUGAAACAUCUGUUCCUAUCCUUCAUCAAUGUUCCUCUUCAUAUGUUAACUUUUCUUAUUGAUUUGUUAGAGCACUUUGUAUAUGGUGAAUAUUAGCUUUUGUGAUCAGAAUUAUGGAACUGUUGUUGUCUUUAGUUUUGCUUAUCAAGGUUAAAGCCAUUCAGAGAUGUUGUAAAUGUGUAUGUUGUUAAAUUUAUGUCUUAUUUUGUGUUUUCUGAUCCUCCUAUGUUUAGAAUGGUCAAGCAACCCCAACUUAUGAUUACAUAAAUAUUCUCCCAUAUUUGCUCUUAGCAUUUUUUUUUCUUUUCAUGUAACCCUUUGUUCUUUCAGGAAUUUACUUUGCGGUAAGAAAUGGGCUGGCUUCCAGUUUUAUGUUUCCCAAAUGGUGAUUCAGCUGUUCCAUUUCCAUAUUCUCCCUUAUUAGAAAUGACCACUAUAUUACGUUCUAAAAUAUCUGCAUACUUGUGUCCCUUCCUAUAAUCUCAGUUCAUCUCUUUGAGCUAUCUUUUGAUUCCUUUUUCAAACCACACUGCUUUACUGAACUGUCAUCAUCUUAUACAUUUUUAAUACUCAGCAAGACAACUUUCUCAAUGCCACUCUUUUUCAGAGUUUUUCUGGUGGUUGUAAGAUGUUUAUUCUUCUGGAUAAACUUUAGAAUCACUCUUUUUGUCCAAGGUAAAAUAUAUCCCACAUUGAGAUCAUACUGAAUGUACAGACUAAUUCAGGAAAAAAUGUAUGUCUUUAUUGCAUUGAGUCUUCUUAUCCAAUAAAAAAGAUAUGAAUUUCCAUGUAUUGAAAUCUUCACUGAGACUUAUUUUUGGCUUUUCACAUGUCCUGCAAAUGUAUUGUUAAAUUUAUUUUUAGGUAUUUCAGGGGAAAUGAUUUUCUAAAGUUUGUAUUUUCUAGCUUGUUAUAAUUUACAUAUGAGAUAGUCAUUGUUGUAUAUUAUUUAUAACUGAUCAUAUUACUGUACUUUUAUUGUUUUAAUAGUUUUUCUAUUAUUUUGGGUUUUCCUGGAAUACAACCUUAUUAUCUACAAAUUAUGAUUGCUUUGCCUUUUCCAAUGUUCAUAACUGUUUUUAUAUUCUUGUCAGAUUGCUUUGUUCAGCACUUCUAGAAUAAAGUCAUGCAAUACUAGUGAU